rnacentral:tRNA from 1 species
UCCCUGGUGGUCCAGUGGUUAGGACUCAACACUUUCACUGCUGAGGCACUGCUUCAAUCCCCGGUCAAGGAA